UCUUCUGUAUCAACGUGACUCUAAGUGGAGUCAGUCUGGAAAGAAUCUUUGUAUGUUUUAUGUAAGUCGUAGUGAACUCUUCACACGAUCAGUGAACAGCAGACAGCUGAUCUGUGUUUAUUCACUCAAGACUGAACCGGAGAUCAGAUCAACACACAGUGACACAUACACCAUCAGAGACACAAACACCAUCAGGGUUUCAACAUCAACCACCACUGAACAUACGACUACAACAGCCAUGACAACCUUAGAUGUCCAAUCCAAGACAAACCUGCCAACCAGCACAGCAAAGGAAACCCUGA